UACGUAGGGUCCGAGCGUUGUCCGGAAUUACUGGGCGUAAAGAGCUUGUAGGCGGUUCGUCGCGUCGUUUGUGAAAAACUUGGGGCUCAACCUUAAGCUUGCAGGCGAUACGGGCGGACUAGAGUACUUCAGGGGAGACUGGAAUUCCUGGUGUAGCGGUGAAAUGCGCAGAUAUCAGGAGGAACACCGGUGGCGAAGGCGGGUCUCUGGGAAGUAACUGACGCUGAGAAGCGAAAGCAUGGGUAGCAAACAGG
rnacentral:rRNA from 1 species